ACCAGAGCCACCAAAGUCUAAUCUCGAGCAACAGCUUAAGUCAAAGUCACAGGAGUGCGAGGAGCUUAAACACAAGAUAAAUCAUUUGCAAGAAGCUAUGGAGAACUCCUCUAAGGUUGUACUAGAAUAAAUUGGAAAGUGUGUUGAGGACCCUAGAUGCCAUCGAGGGUCACUUGUUUUCAACUAACAAUGCUAUUGCAGAGAAAGUAGAGUCAUAACUUAUCCAGUGUGUGUCUACGAGAUUGGACGCCCUUGAGGGCUCAUUAAAUUUCAGCCGAAGUUCUGGAUUAGUCGUCAAACAUAGACUCCCCCUUCCGCCUCCAAGAGCAAUACCAAGACCAAUGGUACUUUUAAAUAUGGAUGAUUGACCAAUUUUGUACCACGUGAUGUCGAGUCCCGCGUGCCUGUUACUCCUCCCACCUCAUACGUAGUGUGAAAGAGUCGACUCUGCGAGAAACAUGUCAAAAAAGAAAGGAAAGUUCCGCGUUUUUUUAGACGAGGAUGACUCAUCGGAUGAUAAUAUAGCGAAUAAGGCUAUAGAGAGAAAGUAUACGAAGACUUUUGUAAUCAUGAGCGGCUCAAUAUGUACACUCGUUUUCAGUGCUCGUGCACCCUCUGUUUUACGUUUCUUAGUCGCAACUGGUUUUUGGUGGACGUCAAUCAAACGAGAACCGGGGGCUGUUCUGUCGCCAGUUCUAGUAGAGUGUUUCAAAAAGCUGUUCAUUUUAAAGUUUUUGUUAUUGAUUAUAAGCUCUCUAUGUUAGAGAAUUGAGCAUGUUCAAAAAUGUUUUUUUUAAAUAUUAUCGGCGAUGGGUGCAUAGCCAGGCAAUAUUUCAAUAUGUAAUGAAAUUUGCCAAUACAGAUAUACACAGAUAUGCUUUCCCAUAAUUGUAGCCUGAGAUGGUUCAGGAGCCAAGACAAAGGGUCCAAAAUGGAAAAGGUGGCGUGUGGAAUGCUAAGUAGUGAGCAAAUCGCAGCAGCCUACCCUAGGCCGAAACAGAAGAUCUAUCUCUGGUUGAAGCCAGAAGGGCAAGAAGGCCAACGAAACACACAGAUCUCUUCAUCACCAUUUAGACAUAGUAAGUUGAAAAGAUACAAAGUUAUCAUAAAUAAUUAUUAACAUUUAUGCCAUCGUUUACGGGUUUACUU